AUUGAACGCUGGCGGCAUGCCUUACACAUGCAAGUCGAACGGCAGCACGGGAGCAAUCCUGGUGGCGAGUGGCGAACGGGUGAGUAAUAUAUCGGAACGUGCCCAGUCGUGGGGGAUAACGUAGCGAAAGCUACGCUAAUACCGCAUACGAUCUAUGGAUGAAAGCGGGGGAUCGCAAGACCUCGCGCGAUUGGAGCGGCCGAUAUCAGAUUAGGUAGUUGGUGAGGUAAAGGCUCACCAAGCCGACGAUCUGUAGCUGGUCUGAGAGGACGACCAGCCACACUGGGACUGAGACACGGCCCAGACUCCUACGGGAGGCAGCAGUGGGGGAAUUUUGGACAAUGGGCGCAAGCCUGAUCCAGCAAUGCCGCGUGCAGGAUGAAGGCCUCGGUUGUAAC
rnacentral:rRNA from 1 species